CGUUAGAAUAUUUUUUUAAUUUAUUACUGUAAUUUAUGGACUGCGUACAACAUUUAUUCUAUUAUCAGAACAGAUGGAUAGAAGCUGGAUUUUUGGGGCACCAUUCACACCUACAUAUGUGAAAGGAGUUGAAGAGUUCAUGAAAUUUGUGAGCGAAAGAUAUUCCAAAGAUAGCCAGAUACUUUGCCCAUGUACGCGAUG
rnacentral:lncRNA from 1 species